CGUACACUCCUACGGGAGGCAGCAGUGGGGAAUUUUGGACAAUGGGGGCAACCCUGAUCCAGCAAUGCCGCGUGAGUGAAGAAGGCCUUCGGGUUGUAAAGCUCUUUUGUCAGGGAAGAAACGGUAGUAGCGAAUAACUAUUACUAAUGACGGUACCUGAAGAAUAAGCACCGGCUAACUACGUGCCAGCAGCCGCGGUAAUACGUAGGGUGCAAGCGUUAAUCGGAAUUACUGGGCGUAAAGCGUGUGCAGGCGGUUGUGUAAGUCAGAUGUGAAAUCCCCGGGCUCAACCUGGGAAUUGCAUUUGAGACUGCACGGCUAGAGUGUGUCAGAGGGGGGUAGAAUUCCACGUGUAGCAGUGAAAUGCGUAGAUAUGUGGAGGAAUACCGAUGGCGAAGGCAGCCCCCUGGGAUAACACUGACGCUCAUGCACGAAAGCGUGGGGAGCAAACAGGAUUAGAAACCCUAGUAGUCCCAUG
rnacentral:rRNA from 1 species